rnacentral:rRNA from 1 species
GCUUACGGCCACACCGCCUGGUUCACGCACGAUCUCGUUUGAUCUCCCGGGAAGAUAAGAUAGGGUGGGCCUGGUUGGUACUUGGAUGGGAGACCGCCUGGGAAUACCAGGUGCUGUAAGCU